GAUGAAGAACGUAGCGAAAUGCGAUAAGUAAUGUGAAUUGCAGAAUUCAGUGAAUCAUCGAAUCUUUGAACGCACAUUGCGCCCGCCAGUAUUCUGGCGGGCAUGCCUGUUCGGGCGUCAUUUCAACCCUCAAGCCCAGCUUGGUGUUGGGGAUCGGCACAGGCGCCCUCGGGCGCCCGCCGUCCCCUAAAUCUAGUGGCGGUCCCGCUGCAGCCUCCUCUGCGUAGUAGUUUUCUCCUCGCAAGGGCAGCUCGGUGGCGACCUCGCCGUAAAACCCCCAACUUCUGAAAGGUUGACCUCGAAUCAGGUAGGAAUACCCGCUGAACUUAAGCAUAUCAAUAAGCGGAGGA
rnacentral:misc_RNA from 1 species